GCCCAGACUCCUACGGGAGGCAGCAGUGGGGAAUAUUGCACAAUGGGGGAAACCCUGAUGCAGCGACGCCGCGUGAGGGAAGACAGUCUUCGGAUUGUAAACCUCUGUCUUUGGGGAAGAAAAUGACGGUACCCAAAGAGGAAGCUCCGGCUAACUACGUGCCAGCAGCCGCGGUAAUACGUAGGGAGCGAGCGUUGUCCGGAAUUACUGGGUGUAAAGGGAGCGUAGGCGGGCGAGAAAGUUGAAUGUUAAAUCUACCGGCUUAACUGGUAGCUGCGUUCAAAACUUCUUGUCUUGAGCGAAGUAGAGGCAGGCGGAAUUCCUAGUGUAGCGGUGAAAUGCGUAGAUAUUAGGAGGAACACCAGUGGCGAAGGCGGCCUGCCGGGCUUUAACUGACGCUGAGGCUCGAAAGCGUGGGGAGCAAACAGGAUUAGAUACCCGCGUA
rnacentral:rRNA from 1 species